CAAGCAACUGUUGUUUAACAUCCUCUGAGUUACUGUUAGAGCGGAAAGUGUUUCACCCUCAUGACAGGAAUGCUUCAUCUGGCUUCCUCCCAAAUGCAGGAGAGAAAUAUUUAUGGCCUUUCCUUCCUGCCCACCUACCCCCAGGCGCACUGUUCCCAGUCUGUAUUGCACAUGCAGCCAUGCUGGGUCGUGCCCACAGCCUAUCCUGCUGCUGCCCUGGGCUGCAUCACCUCUGGGAGCCAUGAAGCUCAGAGUGGUGCCACCACUUCCCUGCAUCUCUCUGCAUCCAGUGAUCAGCACGAUGAACACCUGCUGCUUGUUUAUUCUCUUGUCCCAUCCCCAAGCAGAGAUGUACACACAGAUGUUUUCUGUUUAAACAAGCAAAACAUAACAUUUUGUUUGUUUUUUUAACCGGCAGAUCUUUUAAGUGGAUGUCAUUAAGCCUUUAUAGUGGAAGUGAAGUGUGUGAGGCAUGAGGGAAGAAGCAGCUGAAAAGAUAGGGGGACAGAGGAGUGAGGAGAACCUCUUCAGUUCUCCACACUCCAUGCCACAGCUUCACCUGCAGCUCACAGAAGAGAGACAAACACAUGGAAGCAGCAGAAGAAGAUGCAUUUUAACUGACCUCCGAAAAGCUCAGAGACUGCUUGGAAAUCAAAGGCACAAACACAGGGCUCUCAUGGGCAUCACAGCAGUAGAAACAGCAUAGAUCAUCAUCUUCAUCAUCAUCAUCAUCGUCAUCAUGGCACAGCCUGUUUUGCUCUGUCAGCAGAACAAUGCAUCAUGUUGUGACUUGAUUGCACACGGGGCUCUGCGGGAGCUCCCACCUGUGCAGCCCCCCGCAGCUGGGCAGGGAGCCGGGCUGCCCCGGGGCCGCGGCGGGAGGAGCCGGGCAGCCCUGGGCUGUGGAAGCCCCACUGCAGCUGCUGAGGAAGUAAUGACUCACAGAAUGGUGGAUGUGGGUGCAUCCACCAUUCCUCUGAAAUGUUGGUAUUCACUCACACAGGGAGUAAAACCAAUAGGAAAUUAUUGGAGUGUUCCAACCCACGUUUUGAGCACACAGCUCCCUCUCCCUUUGCCUCUGUCUUCUGUGCUCUCUGGUGUGUCUUGCUGGAGCUCAGGUGCAAGAUGCUUGUCUCCUCACACACAUUCAGGGAGGCCAUCAGCAACACUUUUUGGAGAGGUGAGUAUACACCUGUUAACUGGGAGAAACAGUGCAGCCCCUCACCAUGGGAGCUGCUCCACUGCGACUCUCCCCUUCCCCUGUGCCCCUUGGACCUGCUAGGCAGGUGCAGGACGCCAUGGCAGACCUGCCACAAGUUUCUUAUCCCUCAAUUUCCUUUUUCUCCCUACCCACUAUGGGUCUCAGGGCAUGUACUUGUGCUGCUGACUGUGCCAGUGGACAACCUCAGAAGCAGAGAAGAUGCCAGGCAGGUCAGAGAGGAGAGUAUUCCCUGCCAGCCUGCAGCCCAGACAGGCAGGCAAAGCCCAGCCCUGGCUGGAGCUAAACAUGGCCUCAUUUCAUGGCAAAACAAUUCCUCUUUGUGCAGCCUGUUCUCCCAGAACAAUCCUCUGCUCUGACAAUAUCCUUUCUAUGGCUUAGUCCCUGUGGAGUGACCAGCAGCGUGCUCAGCCUGACGCCUGGCAGCUCCCACCCUGCUGCCCCACGGCCAAGGUGCAGCACCUGCGACCCCUGCCCUGGAGGGGUCAGUCCCAGUCUCUGCUGAGACUCAGUGGCCACUUCAGGCCAAGGCAAAGUCUUCUCAGGAAAGUCCCCAGCACAGCCUAAAGCACUUUGGAGGGUUUUUUCUUCUACCUUUGCUCACUCCGUGGAGCUGCAUGGCACCGCUGUUCCACAAGUUAGGAGGACAGCCCUAGGACACAGUUGUGGAGCAUGACGUAUGGGUGUCGAGUCACCAAAUCUGAUUGUAAUCCCAACUGCCUGAGUGAAGAAGUCACCCAGCCUCACCAAAGCUGCUCCCUCAGGCUCCAGGCAGUCUGGGACUGGUUGCCAGAGAUGAUCAACUCCUGUGGGCUUUAAAUCACAGAGGAGCAUGUGCCCAUGAAAUGUCUUGCCCAUGUGCCCAACCUUGAAAGGUCCCUGAGAAGGGGCAGUUUUCAUGUCCCUACAAGAGACAGAGCUCCCAGAGCUCCCAUGGUCUUCUGCCAGUCACCCAUACUUGUACAGUAACCAAGGACUCCUGUUGAGCUGCAUGUCGUAAAGCCUUCCGACCUCCUGACCCUUUCCAGCCUGCUGCCAGUGCACUCUGGGCUUUGAGGUGGUCCUGCCAUGCCUGCUGCUCUGCAGAGACACUGAAGAAUGGCUUCUCCAGGCUUUUAGUGUCCUCAGACACCUUGCUGUGGCUAUGGCUCGGCUUCUUUUCCUCUCCCCACCCCAUGAUUUGAUGGAUUUGAAACAAGCACCAUUAUUCAAUAAGACUAUCCUCUAGGCCACAGGAACAAAUAAGGAUGCUUUAACAGGUCCAGGGUGGGCUGAGAUAUCUGGCAUGUCUAUGAAGGACCCCAGGGGGUCCUGUAUUGCUGGGGUGGUGUUGCCAGCCCAUGGAGGUGGGUGGCAGGGCUCACACUGGAGAGGCUGCUAUGCAGCUGACAAAGAAUUCUUGUCCCAGUAGGAAACAACAGUCAUGUGUGCUGCCCACCCCAGCUGGCAGGCAAAGUCCAGCAAUUAAACACACUAGGGUGAAAGUCUGCUGUCAAGGCUCCAGGGCACCACCACCGUGCCAGCAAGCUCCCAGGUGAUGCUUGCACUGCUCCUUCCAUCCAUCCAAAGGGAAUGCCUUUUUGCAGGUGAUGUUGAAAUGUAAAUCUAAGUGUCAUAUUACAACAGGGGUUUCAGCGGGAUCAUUUCAUGCCUGUUGGCUACAGAAAUGUUGUGGGUUGUUUGUUUGCUUGUAGCUUGAGGGGCUUAUAGGGACCUCAGAUUCCAGGAAUGCAAGCAUUUCUUUUGGCUUAAGGGAAGAGAGAAAGACUGAUGGCGUAUUUGGCCUUUACUGCCACUACAAUGUAAUCAGCAGAAAUAACAAAAAUUUUUCACAAGGUGAGUCAUUUAAUCUUGGUAUCAGCGAUGGAAGGAGGCAACACAUCAGCCUGAACACAUACCCAGGCAUGGCCUACCUGCCCACCUCUACUUAUUGAAAUCGCAGAGUGACAUGAUGGCAUUUAAUGGGCCUUCAGGUGCUGAGUAUUGUCAUCUGUCACCACUUUUAGUGGCCAUAAAAGCCUUUUUUAUUCUCUCAGUAUAGACAGAGGUGUUGUAGGAGCAUUUCUUGGAUGUGUUACAAUUGUGAGCAUAAUCAACUUAGCAUUUUUUUUCAUGGAGCCACAGAGAAAGUGUGCAGCAAUAAUUUGUGGUUGAUACUGCUUUAGAGCCCAACCUCAGGGAAAGGGAGAAGGGUAAAACAACAUUAGAGAACCAAUUUACAUUCAGUGUUUUUAUCUGAUCACAUGCAAAAUUUUUGGUUUUUCGGGAUUAAAUAGAAAAGGAUGGGAGGAUGUGUAAAUCAUCUUCUCACUCCUCAAGUGUAUUAAGGUGUGUAAAUUUACUAACUGUAUGUGUCAAAUACAUUACUGAAAAAUUACAGAGCCAAUUGUUUAUGUGUUUAAUUUCACAGAAUUCAUUUGAAGUUUUUAUUUUCUUUUAGAUUUUUUCAAGUUGAAUAAUGUUGU